AUUGAACGCUGGCGGAAUGCUUUACACAUGCAAGUCGAACGGCAGCACGGACUUCGGUCUGGUGGCGAGUGGCGAACGGGUGAGUAAUGUAUCGGAACGUGCCCAGUCGUGGGGGAUAACGUAGUGAAAAUUACGCUAAUACCGCAUACGAUCUAUGGAUGAAAGCGGGGGAUCGCAAGACCUCGCGCGAUUGGAGCGGCCGAUAUCAGAUUAGGUAGUUGGUGGGGUAAAGGCCCACCAAGCCAACGAUCUGUAGCUGGUCUGAGAGGACGACCAGCCACACUGGAACUGAGACACGGUCCAGACUCCUACGGGAGGCAGCAGUGGAGAAUUUUGGACAAUGGGCGAAAGCCUGAUCCAGCCAUUCCGCGUGCAGGAUGAAGGCCCUCGGGUUGUAAACUGCUUCCGUACAGAACGAAAAGGUUUCUACUAAUACUAGGAGCUCAUGACGGUACUGUAAGAAUAAGCACCGGCUAACUACGUGCCAGCCGCCGCCGUAA
rnacentral:rRNA from 1 species